rnacentral:rRNA from 1 species
CCUACGGGAGGCAGCAGUGGGGAAUAUUGCACAAUGGGGGAAACCCUGAUGCAGCGACGCCGCGUGAGUGAAGAAGUAACUCGUUAUGUAAAGCUCUAUUAGCAGGGAAGAAAAUGACGGUACCUGAGUAAGAAGCCCCGGCUAACUACGUGCCAGCAGCCGCGGUAAUAUGUAGGGGGCAGCCGUUAUCCGGAUGUACUGGGUGUAAAGGGGGCGUAGACGGCAGUGCAAGUCUGGAGUGAAAGGCGGGGGCUCAACCCCCGGACUGCUCUGGAAACUGUACGGCUUGAGUGCAGGAGAGGUAAGAGGAAUUCGUGGUGUAGCGGUGAAAUGCGUAGAUAUUAGGAAGAACACCAGUGGCGAAGGCAGCUUACUGGACUGUAACUGACGUUGAGGCUCGAAAGCGUGGGGAGCGAACAGGAUUAGAUACCCCAGUAGUC